ACAAAAACUACAAAAAAAUUAUAAAAUGCAAUUGAAAAAAAAAAAUACAUAAAUAAAAACUAUACUAUAGUAUCAUUUUUAGAUACUUUUUUUAAUCAAAAAUGUUAAUAACAUUUAUUUUUAUUUUUAUUAUUAUUAUUUUUUACAUAAACCCUUUGUAUUUGUAAUAUGUGGUUCCUCCUUAUCUGGAUGUCUUGUUAUAUAAAUAUAUUGUUUGUGCUGUUUAAAAAAUGAGCAAGCUGCAUUACUUUUGUUAUUAUUAUUUUUUGUUAAUUAAAAAAAAUUUAUAGUAUAUUUAAAUAUAGUUAUUUAAUUGUUUUAGUGCAUUUAUUAAAGACUUGAUGAUUUAUUCCAGUACCUUACAGGAAAAGUGUAGGAAUGUCAGAUGUGGCUGUAAUGCAGAAGCACCUCUCUGUCCCACAGCGGUCCGAUCCUGGAGCCCCGGAUCCUGCUGGUGUCCCACGACCUUCCCAGCAGACUCUUCCAGCUCUGGAGCUACAAGCUGCUGGACGAGACUGACAGCCAGCGGACGCUCGUCUCAGAUGAACAGAGCCUGGAGAGACUCGUGAGAGACACCCUUCAUCAGAUCCUGCGGCUCGGACGACACCUGCUCAACAAAACACAACAGAUCACGGGAUCUAAAGUGAUUCCUGAUGAAGUGCUGAAGGAGGCAUCAGAUGCGGUUCCUCCGCAGGCCGCGGUGAGUCGUCUGCUCCAGAUGGAGGCGCUGUUGAGUCCCGCGCGCUACAUCAGCACGUAUCAUUCACCGCUACACCAUCGCCUGGACUCCGGUAACACACCUUACCUUACGCUUAAAGAGAAAGUUCACCCAAAAAUUAAAAACGUCAUCGUUUGCUCACUCUCAAGUUAUGUGUUUCUUUCUUCUGCUGAACACAAAAGAAGAUAUUUUGAAGAAUGUUGGUAACCAAACAGUGGACGGUAGCCAUUGAGUAGUUUCUUUACAAUGGAAGUCAAUGGCUACCGUCAACUGUUUGCUGAGUAAAAGAUGACAGAAUUUUUAUUUUUGGGUGAACUGUCCUAUUAAAGCUCUUAAACUGUCUUUUCUUUUUCUGUAUAUGACAUCAGUAUAUUAUUUAAAAUACAGAGUAUUUAUAUGUCAUGGUUUUUUCCUAAUUAUUCUUUAAAUGCAAUCAUUUUUAUAUUGUAGCUUAUGUAGAAAAUACUCUAUUUCAGCAAUGAGAAUCAAUAGUUUUUCUGCAUAGUCAUUUAGAGGUAAACAAAUAGCAUGAGUUUGUUGUUUCCUGAACGUGUUGUUUUGUGCAUCUGAUCGUUUAAGGACAUGUUUUCGGGAGUUUUCGUCCCACCACAGUGUAGGUUUGGAGUUAGGGUCAGGAGGUAGGUCUUGUUUGAUCCUCUGCAGUGCAUGCAAACAUCAGAGUGAAUCUAGAGACCGCAUGCAUGCAUGAGAACUGGACUGCAUUCACCGGUUUAUGAUGUUUAAUAAACCGAUAAUAAUAAAUUAUUAUUAUUCUUUC
ensembl:lncRNA